CCUAGACCGCGUGUGUGAAGAAGGCCUUUUGGUUGUAAAGCACUUUAAGCGAGGAGGAGGAGCUCUUGGUUAAUACCCAAGAUGCUUGGACGUUACUCGCAGAAUAAGCACCGGCUAACUCUGUGCCAGCAGCCGCGGUAAUACAGAGGGUGCAAGCGUUAAUCGGAUUUACUGGGCGUAAAGCGCGCGUAGGUGGCCAAUUAAGUCAAAUGUGAAAUCCCCGAGCUUAACUUGGGAAUUGCAUUCGAUACUGGUUGGCUAGAGUAUGGGAGAGGAUGGUAGAAUUCCAGGUGUAGCGGUGAAAUGCGUAGAGAUCUGGAGGAAUACCGAUGGCGAAGGCAGCCAUCUGGCCUAAUACUGACACUGAGGUGCGAAAGCAUGGGGAGCAAACAGGAUUAGAUACCCUGGUAGUCCAUGCCGUAAACGAUGUCUACUAGCCGUUGGGGCCUUUGAGGCUUUAGUGGCGCAGCUAACGCGAUAAGUAGACCGCCUGGGGAGUACGGUCGCAAGACUA
rnacentral:rRNA from 1 species